UGCAUUUGAUGUGUGCAUUUUUCAUGUAAUGCACAAAUUGAUCACAAGUGUUAAAAAUUUAAUGUAAAUGCAUAGAGCCAGCACAUUCAAGUAGUCUUGCAGUGCUAAAUUAGAUAAAAAAUAUCCGUAUUGAUUUUCUGAAAUUUUACUUUUUGAAGCACGUGCUUCUAAACUAUUCUUCCCCAUUAAUUUGUGCAGAGAGUGGAUCUUUCCAGCUGCCCACAGUUCACACCAUCACUUGUUCUCCUGUCGAUGCUUCCUUUUUCAUGCUAUGCAGGUCACAUGCUAGAAAAGAGCAUUAAGGAAUCUUUAAUUAACCGUGUGCGUCUAAAAGAGGACGCCUUUCACGUAUCACAAGCAUUGGGGCUAAUGUUGACUUUUAUUGAAGUAGAAGAGGUGGAUAUUUCAAAUUGUCCAAUGCUACAUCUUGAGGCUGCCAUUGAGUGCUUCUGCAAGUUCCCAUCAUUAAGAAAAUUAAAGGCAGCUUACUCUUUAGACUUCAAAACAAAGAUGAUGUGUCAAUUGGUACAAAAGUGCCCACUACUCUCUGACAUUGACCUAACUGUGGAUGUUACUCCUGUUAUACCUGGACGCGUGUCAAUUGUAUCUUCCUGGCCGGCCUUGCCACAAAGAUCUACAACAUAUUUCAACCUUGAUAAUUGUUAUUCUGCUGCCUCUUUUUCAUAUAUGUCGAGGCCAUUCCUCUCAAAUAUCACGAAACUCACGUUGGAAGGCCGAACCGACAUCAGAGGUAACUCUUUUUUUGAGGGGGGGGGGGGGGGGACAGGGAGAGAGAGAGAGAGAGAGAGAGAGAGAGUGUGUGUUCCCUCCACACUGCAGUCCCACCCCAAAGAACAAUGAACCAUGAUGCAUAUUUGUAUGUAUACAUAUAGGUGUAUCCUAGUCUCCUUUGCAUCCGAUGUCAUUAUUUUCACCUUUUUGGAAAUUCUUUUGGUUGCUUAAAAAUUAAGACAUUCAAUUUCAAUACAUAAAAGAAUUGGAUCUUAAGAGAUUCUCAUGCAAAGGGUGCCAGCUAGGAUUAUUUUGCUUUGAUCAAGAGUGUGUGUACCUACUACCCACCAUUCAUUGAACAUUAACUAGGUAGAUGGUCGUAGAUGUGGCUUGCUGCAUAUUUUUAGGUUGGAAAUCAUCUGUUACCGAACUGUUGAUGUAAGGGAAGAAGUCUGUUUGCUGUUUUCUUUCAUCUAUGCACUUCAAUGUGUAGCAUGUCCUCCACAGGUGUAAAUCAACAAAAUGAAAGAGAAAAAUGCAUAGACAAUAUAACAAGGAUGCGUCUUGUAAGUUCUUUCAGAAUAUCAAACAUAGGAGAUUGCAUUGCUAAAAAGCUCGUUUUCAAAUAGCAAAGAUAACUAAUGCUACUAUGGCAAUUGUAGUUGUGGAAAAAAGAAGCAAGUGGUGUUAUGGAAAUAUGUUAAUAUACGAAAGGUCAUACAGAAUUUUAACAUGGUAAAGAUUGGGCCUUCUUUGAUUAUAUAAGCUAAAACAAUAUUUAAAAAAUGUUUUGAGGCUGCACCUGGAGUCCUGCCUAACAUGAGGCUCUCUUUAAAAGCAUCAAAGCUCAUGCCUUGACUUAGUGAGGCUUACGCCUUAAGAAAAGCACCAUGCAACUUCAUAGUUGAAAACCUUUCAGAUGGCAGGAUCAAAGCCAAUCUUACAAGCAUACCAAUGGACAUAUAAUCCCUUUGCUGCUAACUUCCAAGCUAAUUCCACUAAUUCCUUUCGUUUCGAAAAACUCCUCAUCCAACAAAAGCAAAUUUAGUUCUCAAAUUGAUUAUCAAGUGCUAAGAGAUCCACUAUAGAACAGGCUGACGGAUAAAACUUAACCAAAUAAAACUGUUCGUCGAAAGAGUAAAAUCAAUUGUUUGGACUUGAGUAAGCUACAAAAAUAAGUAACUCCAUAUUCACCAUUGUAAAAUGAUUAUCAAGUUCUUGAAGUUGCAUCUCCACAAUCUGUUGAAUGUUUCUACAGGAUAACGGUUUAAAUUUUUGGUUUGUGCUAUAUAUCGUGCCUUAGGCUUUAAAGAUAUGAUCCAUGUUGGGAAUAGGAUGCUCUAUUUCUUCUUAUUAUCUGCAAUCUUUAUUGGCAUAUUUUAAGUAAUAGCAUUUAUGUAUCUUGAUCUUUUGCUAGCAAGAGCUUUUACAACUCAUUAUUACGCCUUAUUUUUAUCAGUAUAUGGGGGCUUCUAUGCGUUUCUUUUAAUUGGCCGGCCUUGUAAAAUUGAACUAUUUUUUGUUGGUUCAACAGAUUCUGAUCUCCAUGACAUCUCAGAGUUCUGUGCUUCCUUGUGCUACCUUAACCUUAACGGGUGUACUUCAUUGACGGACAAUGGUUUAUCAGUAAUAAUUCUGAAAUGUAAAAAACUACACUCAGUUUUGGUGUGUGAUACUUCUUUUGGGAAUAAUUCAAUUCUGGCACUUUGCUAUGGGAUUUCUGUUGCGGAAUCCAAAAGAGGAAACUACUCUCACACGACGGCUUCGAAGUGUCAAACCCUGCAUAUUGGUGGCUGCAAUGGUGAGCAACAUUUCCUUUGUCCACUCUCACCCUCUUUUAUUUUCAGUAUUCCAGGAAAGUAAAGAGAAAUUCAAUUUUCAAAAGUUUUUUAUGUCAGUAUGUGUCAGAAGUUUUUCUGAUGGAAAUGUGUUUUUUUUAUAAAGUCUUUCAUAAUAUCAGAGUGAGCAUGAUUUUAUAUUUGGUUCACUUGAGUAUUUUUGAGACUUUUUCCUCAUUUGAGUAUAAUCUCAAUUGAUGUGUCUGCCAGUAUCUUUGAUGGUAUACACAAUCAAAUAUGUAUAGCUAACAGCUGGAAUACAUUAUAGUACACACGCAUCAAAUAUGUUUAACUUAAUCUUGUGAAUGUCAUAUAUACAAUUUAUUCUCAACACUAUCCACUUCUUCCCUUCUUUGGCAGGGAUAAAUGAAACAGCUUUGUCAGAGCUUCUCUCUGGAGCAAAUAAUUUGACGAGUCUGUGUUUGCGGGAGAUUCAACUUGAUGACAAUGCUCUUUAUUGUUUUUCAGGAUCCUCCUUGGAGAUGCUUGAUAUUUCUGAUACAAAGGUGCAGAGGCAGUCUAAAGGGAAAUUUUGUUUGUUUCUAGAAAGGAUUCCUCUAAAACCAUUCACUUUUUAUCAUGGAAUUCAUAUAAAUCACUUUACCUAAGAUCUCUUAUGAAUGCGGCAACUGGAAACUUGAACUGAACAUUGCAUAUAGAGUUUGAACUUCUGUUUUCACAACCUGCUUUCACCCGUCAAACCUAAGUCUGAAUAUCUGAAAAUCUUUAAAGCUUUUUGGGCUAGGCUAACUGAAAAACUGGGCUGCUAGAUCUUGUUUUUUGGAAGUUGACAGUUAACCUUUCAAAAGAUAUGUAUAUUUGUCAGAUACAUAAUUUUUCUGCAUGAGUUGCAAGAACUUCACGGUGGUUCAUUAGUUUCAUAUCAAUACCCAUCUGGAAUUGCAUGCAUCUGUCAAUUUCUUGAUGCCAUCUCUUUUAAGAGAGUACCCGUGUGUAAAUUGAGUCCUGAACUCGAGACUCGAAGCUUCGUGGGUUAGACUAUUUUUAUUUCCCACUUGCACGGUCUUGCAAGGAUAAGUUACGAAGGUUGUGCACUUGGCUUAAUCCCCAUGUUCAGGAAUUAGUUAUUAGCAAUGCAUGACAGACCUCUAUUAUACUUCGAUUGGGAUGUGAUAGCACGACGGAUGCAUAUGCUUGGUGGUGUCUUGCUCUAUUUCUUCAUCAAGUUUAAAAGAAAGAAUAUUUGUCUUUACUGUUUACUUUUGUCUUGUUAGAACCAAUCUUGAGUUGUACUGAAUAAAUAAAAUGUAUCAAGCUAACCCAUAAAUAAUGUGCUUGUGAUAUUUCAGGUUUCUGCUGCUGCUUUGGCUCAUGUGAUUUAUAGAAAUCCCGAUCUAAAAUGUUUGAAAGCAAGAGGCUGUAGGCAUUUGCUAGUAAAGGAAAGUAAGACGGAAGAGAGAAACUUGCCUGCUUUAUUGCGUACUCCAAAAGAGUGGUACUCUGAGCUUGGCAAGUCCUGCAAAUUGGACGAGAUUCAACUUGGAUGGGGUUUUUCAUCUCUUUAUAUGGAAGCACUUAAACCGGCAUUUAGAACAUUAAGAACGGUAGUUGUUGGUUUAGGUGGAUCCUUGGGCCAAGAUGGGCUGAAGCAGUUAUCAGAUAUCUGUCCUUUGAUUGAGACCAUGGUUCUAUAUUUUCAGGUAAUGAUUGUUUAGGAGAUAUAAUUAAUGUCAUCCGUAGCAAAUUAUCCGAUCAUCAUAAUUGAUGAGUGUUGAUUGCAAGCUUUGCAUAAAAUGUUCAAGAUUUAGGUUGUAUAUUUUCUCUUGACCAGCAAGAGUGAGACAACAGUGGAACUAAAACGGUAUAAGAAUAGAAAUAUUAUACUCAUAGGAACUAGGUCUUGGCAUUUUCUAGUUUGCUCAUUGGUACUCUCUCUCUCUCUCUCAUAAUUCUUUUAUCUCCCAGCAGCAAAAGGCAACUAUCAUUGAACAUCACUUAUCAGUUAAAACCUCUCACGUGAACCAUAUGUUUCUGAUGAAGUUGGAAGCUUUGGUGAUCUCCUGAUCACUAGAGUACAAUUUAUGGAGCUUUUUCGGUGAUCGUUUUUAGUUAUAUGAUAUACUAACUGAUGCUUGAAGCCAUGCACUAAUACAUUGUCUGAUGUUAACAGGUGAUAACUGAUUCUACUAUAAUGCAUGUUAUGAAAACCUUGUUGCAGUUGCAAGUCUUGGCUCUAUCCUAUUGCAUUGGUGAGAUUUCAUCAUUAAGCUUUAAGUUCUUGAUGCCGAAUCUGAAGAACCUGAAACUUGAAAGAGUAACACCAUGGAUGUCAAAUGAAGAUUUGGUUAAUCUGACACAGAAUUGCCCCAAGUUAGUCAAGCUUUCAUUGACAGGGUGCACAAUGCUUAAUUCAGGCGAGUAAUUUCUACCUGAUAACCAGUCUGUAGAAAUUUCAAUGACACUAAAUGCAAUUUUCAUGCAGUGUGACUCUAAUAAGAAUUCUUAUGCUCUGAGUUUCAUAAGCUGCUGUAUAAUCGAGAAUUAAUACUCGUAUAUCAUUUUUUAUUAUAUACAUGCAUCCUUUUGUCUGGGGAUGACUGAGUGAAGUGAUUUGAAUACUGGCUAAAAUAAUAAUAAAAACUUUUCCUUUCCCUUGUUAUGUUCUUUUCAGAAUCCCAAGAUAUUAUUUCAAGUGGUUGGCCAGGGUUGAUAUCCAUUCAUCUUGAGGUUUGCUGUCACCAUUUUCUCUUGGGAUGCCUUUUUAUUAUUUUUUUAAAAAGAUAUGUAGAUCUUACAUUUGCUACCAACUUUGCAAGAGGAGGAUAAAGACUGAAAUACUAUUAUCUGAUAGUAAAUUUGCUAUUACUUUUUUUGUUUUUGCAUACACCUAAGCAGAUGACCUAAACAAUAUUAACAGUUUUGUGUAACCCAAUUCCUGACUAAGGGCAGAUUUUCGACCCCUUUUUUUUUUUCCCUUAUUUUUGCAACCUCUUGCUACAUCUCUAAAAUUUUCUUCUAUACCUGUGAUUCACCCAAUUUUAUUGAGUGUAGAGGAUGGACAAAGUAGCAAUUAAAAAUUAAAACUUGUCUAAACUUGAGGGGCAUGUUGAAGACAACAUUAAAUGAUAUAAAUUGUGUCCUUAUCUAAUAGCUUAAGCAUUUAGAUCAAGCCGUUUAACAUGGUGUCACAUCAAGCAAAGGUCAGUCAAGUCUCGGCUCUGUCCAUUUAAAUGAAUUGUCCACAUGUUAAGUUUUGAUGGACGUGUUGUCGAUGGUAUUUGAAUGAUAUAAAUAUGCCCUAUCUAACAAUUUAAGCUAUUAGAUCAAGUGGUUCAACAAUAAUGAUUGCUGCUGUUAUUUUCCAAUUAGAUUCACCACCUUUCAUAAAGAGAAGUUUUCUAACCUCUUUCAAAAUUCCAAAAUGUGAAAGAAGAACUGUUUUAUAAGUUCAAAAUCAACAAAGAAUUUAAAGUUUUCUGAACAUGCAUGUGAGGGUCUUCAAUUACAAGAGAAGUUCACAGGGAGAGGUGGUCCAUAAUUUGAUCAAGAACGAACCAUUUUUGAUAUGUGCCAGUCCUCUUGCUAGUGAGCACUCAUGUACCAUUAAAGAUUAAGAAGCAAAAUGGAUCAAAGGAAAGAGGAGGUAACAAAGUUAAAAUCAUGAAGUUGGUAAGAAGCAAAAGGGAAGAAAUUACUGCCUGAAGUUGGCCUUGGGCCUUCUUUGAAUCUGAAUUAUAUAAUUCUUUUUUCAUUUAGGGAAUAGAAUCCUUCCUUGAAAGUCAUUUUGAGUUCCCCCAAAGGAUUUCUCCAGUUGUCAAUUACUAUAACUUGCACAAACAGCAAACAGGCAUUCUCUUUGUUGGCCACUAUAUACAUCUACAGGGUACUUUAUCCCCUGAAGUUGGCAUUUGGUAUGCAAGAGCAUAUGCACAGUAUAGGAAUGGACUUGUGAAAUGAAUGAAGAUGGGAAUGAAAUGCAAUAGACAUGGGAUAUCUCAUGUUUGGUUUGUCUAGGAAUAAGAACAGCAAUGGGAUCAGGUUCCACAUUUUUGAUUUCUUAUAUUUGGUCUGUUAUGAAGCAUGGUAAUGAAAUACAGAUUGUGAAAUGGCUAUGCAUACCUUACUGAAAUUUUAUAUUUUAAGCAUUAAUUCAUGUAAUUGGGAAAAUAAUGUCACAUGUCAGAAUUUGAAAACACGUUGCAUUCCAGAUUAUCUAGAUGCUUACGCUGGAUGGAAUGCCAUGAGCCUACUCGAUAUCUUCCUUGCCUGCUUCACUAGAGGGGGAAAAAAUAGGGAGAGGAAGAUAAAUAUUUUUGAAUCUUUCUUCUGUCAAUGGUUGAACCUUCUUGCCCAUGCUUCUACAAGAAGAAGAAGAGAAGCCUAAUCAGACACUAAACUACAGUUACCUUACUGAAGACUCAAAAGAAAAAAUUGAAGAUUAGAUUUUUGAGACAUCUGAAGAUCAAAUUUGCAGAUUCAAUGCUUAAUUCCAUGGUUCUUGAGUUCAUGCUCUCUCAUAUUUUAAUAAUAUCUUCUUGGUGGUUAUUUUACAUGUUCUUUCUAUUGAGAAUGUUUAUACGAGUGUAGUUCAUCUUCUAAGUUGCUUUCUCACUAUCAUAAAUUCAAUGUCUUUUAUGGAAUUUACACCAACAUUAAGGAGGAGGAGCCAAAUCGAUAGAAAUUAAAACCUGAAAUUGGGAAGAGAUGCAAAAGUUUGGCGGUGUUGAAAUUUGUUAAAAAACGGGGGUUCCAUUUUUGUGAAAGAGACCAUAAUUAUAAACCCCACCAAAAUGAGAGCAGUAUCUACGAUAUAGGAUGAAGUGAAUAUAAAUAUUAUUUCAUUCAUUUGAUUGAUGUAUUUCAUCAUCAGUUCUUAUCCUUUUCGGUAUCUUUGUAACAGCGCAUGUUAUUUGUUGUUUAGGACUGUGGAGAAGUAACAACCAAUGACGUUGUAUCUCUUCUGGACUGUCAUGCCCUUGAAGAUCUUAUGCUACGUCACACUGUGAGUCUUCAACACUGGUUUUUUCUCAUGUGGUGUGGCUUGUUUUAACUUUUGGAGGCUAGAUAAUUAACUUAAUUCUAAUUAGGGGUGGUUGCAAUCUGAUCCUAUUAUCCUUCAUUAUAGUUACCAACUGGUUCUCUGCAAAAGAUGAUGAAUUUGAACUUUCCCGUUUUUGCCUCCUUCGGUUUCUUUUUCUUUUUCCUUCAAACAAAAUGAAUAAUUGGACAGCAAAUGUACGACCCGAAGAAAUUACAAGACAAAAUACUUCAUGUUUCCUGUUUCCUGUCCUCCUAGUAUUAUGUGGCAUAUAUUAGGGAUGAACUUUUUGGUUGGUAUAACCUGAGAUCUCAAUCUAGGUAGCAUUCCUUUGACAAGGUACAUAAUGUUUGGAUUUAUAUAUUAGGCAAUCUUUAGUAUCGCAUAAUAGAUGAUAUAUAAGCACAAGAUUGUGAUGAAGACUACCAAUUGCUUGGACUUCGAUUCAGAGUAUGACAGAGAUAAUACAAAAUAUCCCUUUCUUUUCCUCUUCAACCCCUUAACUCCAACCCUAUCACACCCACAACACAGACAUCAAACUGCAAGGUAUAUACAUUAUACUAGUCCUAAUAAUAUAUCGGCACCUAAAAACACUGAACUGUUUUCAAUUUUGUGAAGUUCCAUUCAAUUAUUAUGAUCUCACUAGACAUUUCAUCAAACACUAAUUUCGAAUUCUUGGUCUACCUACAAAAUUCGAAGCUUUAUUUUUGUGAACUAGCAACUUGCUGAUUCUGGAGUGAAUUGUGCUUUAAAUAUUUAGGGCCCUGGAAUUACGAGAAAUUUCAUCAUUUAUGCUGCUUACAAGGUAAUUAUGGCUGCUCACAUGGAAUUACCGUAUUUGGACAUUGUUUUUUCUCAAAUUGUUUGAAGUUCCCCGUUUUAUUGUGUAUUUUUGGUGCCUGCAGUUACCAAUGCUUCGAAAAAUAUCACUUGAUAGAUGUGAUGCAAGGGAUGGAGACUUUGACAUUCCAAAUGUAAGAAAUCUUCUUGGCAUAUUAUAAUUUCACCCAUUACCAUUAUGUAGAUGCAAAGUGUUUGACAAACCUGUGAAACUUCACGUGAAAGGCGUUAUCAUUUCAUGGUGCAGUCAUUAUGUAUUUCAUUAUUUCCUUAAUAUAAUCCGGGGGUUUUUGAAGCUUAUAUUCUUGUAUCUUGUGGUUUGGGUAGAAUUGGAUUAGGAUAAAAAGUGAUUAGUUCUACGGUUAAUUAGGCUUUUUAGUAUUGCUAGUCUACAGAAGAAAUAUUAAUCCAUGUUGGACAACUAGAAUUGUUUUCAUUAAGCAACAAAAAUAACAUCACUAAUUGCAUUAACGUGUAAACUUCUUGUUUAUCCAGGUAUUUAUAGUGAAUGUUAUCUUACUGAUAUUACGGACCUGCUCCAGUGUGAUGACAGGUACUUCUUAAGUAGUGUGAAGAUUGCUAGAUGUAAGCUUCGACCCUGCACCUUUGACCUUCAUAAUCCGGAGGGCCGGAGAACCCCCGUGCAUAAAGAAACUUUAAUAUUGGAGUGGAACAGUGAAAAGCUCACAAGAAUUGUGGUGAAGGAAAGACUUUAAUUUCCACGCUUGAAAUCAGAUAUAACAUCUAUGGAAACACUGUGAAGCAUAUGGAAUGCACAAUGUGUUACUGUACAUUAUUUCGACUCCUGCACUCUAAAAGCAUGUUGGAUAUCACUUGGUCUGUAAUAGAUAAUGUUAAUUUAGGUCUUAUAGUAACAUGAAACUAUGUCAUGUUCAGUAAAUUUGAAAAAAAG
rnacentral:lncRNA from 1 species